CAGGCCCUCUCGACCAGUUGACCGUGCAGAGAGCCAAAGAGCAGAGAGGCAGAGACGAACCCUAUACGCUACUCAUCGACGCAGGCAGCCAGCUGCCGGCCGCCGCUUGUCAAAUCCGGCGACCCCGUCCAAGCGUUCAUUCCGGCGAGGCGGUGACCCCGCUUGCACGGCUUCACCUGCACUCAGCCGCUCGUGCGCGACCUCGCCCGACCUCUCGUCCAGCGAUGCCCCGCCUCCGUCCUGCCGCCACCGUCCGGCCGGCCGGCGACCUCGCCCCGCCUCCUGCCACCCGCCACGGCGCCACCGUUCAGCCAGCCAGAGCCAGGAAGACAAGAUAAAUGAAAGAACCAGGACAAUGACAUCUUCUUUUUCAACCACAAAGCCCUGAUUCCACAGUAACAGAAACAGGCCCUUCAACACGACCAGGUGAUGAUAUUCCUCAUGUUACGGCUCAACUUAAGCCCGCUGAUAUCGAACCAGACCCUGGUAAGAGAAUACCUAUUGAGAAUUUGGAUCCAGACAUUAGGGAUCUUGCUAGAAGGGUCCAUGCCAACCAACUGAUCAUGUAUAUGAACGGAAAUGGGUAGGAAAAGGGUUUAAAAGCUUUCAUGAUUCUUGGUACCACAAUUCUUGAUGAACAUGUUGGUAAACAUGAUAGUGCUCAUAAUAAGGCUAGACAACACUAUGAGGCUUUCAAAAAUCAGUGGCAAAAUCUGCCACAUGUGUUUGAUCGAGGUACUCAGAAGGACGAAGAAGAAUACAAAGCUCGUCUCUUGAUUAUAUUGCGUGUUAUCAAAUUUUUGCUGCUACAAGGUCUAGCUUUUCGUGGACAUGAUGAGUCUACUAGCUCAAAGAAUAAGGGUAACUUUAAGGAAUUGUUGGGCUGGCUCAUAGAGAAAGACCGAGAGGCAUGCAAAUUGAUUGGGGAUGCAGGAGCGAACCAUAAGCUAAUUUCACCUGAGAUACAAUUGGACUUGUGCAAGGCGUGUGCAAAAGAGACCUCCAAAGCCAUUAUUGAUGAAAUUGGAGAUAGAUAAUUUUCCUUACUGGUUGAUGAGUCUAGAGAUGUAUCUAUCAAGGAGCGUGUUCAUAUUUUUAUCAUUAAAAAUGAGCGUUACUUUUGUAUGACUUAAAACUGGGAUAGUUUUUGAGACAAAAGUUUGGCCCUUCACUUUUGGCCCGGGGCGUCAGCCAAUCCUGGCUACGCCGUUGGCCAUGACCACCACCAGGUGCAUAGCUACUCUACCUAAUGGGCCAUUAGCAGAAAGCAAGCCGUUUAACUAGCUAACAAACAUCAACCAUUAUAAAAAUUACGAUAGCAGCAGCCCGUGCAGGGAGAGUAGCAGCACAUGAGUGAGCAGAGGGAGAGGGAGGUGCUACCUGCUGGGAGCAGUGCAUGGUCGUGGCCGGGCUGGACUCAUCGAGCUCAGGCAGGGCAACUUGGUUGCCUUGGAAGCAGAGGAGCAGACCCCUUGUUUCCGGACAGGGCCGAUGCCUAGGUGCGUCCCUCCUCGAGCAGGAUAAGGCCAUGUUCCCGACCAGAACUGGCGUCCUCCUGUUGUCGUCGCCGUCCACGUCAUAGGCGGUCUGUAGAAAAGGAAGAUAACUAUAGAAGGUUAGUUUGCAAAUCUACAAGCUACAGUGUGUAGCAAAGAUAUUCAAUCUAUUCAGCAAAAACAACACAAAAAUAUAUGACAGUCUGCAGAACAACAUAGCAUCAUUCACAAGCAAAGUAUAGGAUGCAAACAGCAAAUAGUACCAUAAUUCUCAUCACAGUCAUACAUUGAAUUCAUUAAAGGCUACA